GGGGACGACUGGUUUUGACAGCGAGACCAGCGAUAAUGUAAGCAUGCCGAGCAGUGAAUAGAAACUCGUUAAACUUAAUUUCAACUUUUUAAACGGCGAAGAUAACUACGCUUUAGCUGCAUAAUCCGAAUCAUAGUAAGAUUAGCCUCGGCACACAAGGUGUGCAAGCUUUAUGUCCACGAAUAGCCUUGAUUUACGGCGCUUCACUUUUGGAUAUCGUAAAAGUAAAUAUAGAAAACUUGAAGCUUCGGCAGGUUUUUGAAACUAAAGAAGAUAAGCUUUUAAUAGAUUGUUCUUAAUCAAUUACUGGUCGAAAAUUAAGAAAGAAAUAUGUAUGUAGAAAGCAUUUGAACUGCUUGUUUGGACCCGGGUUCGAUUCCCGGCGUCUCCACUU
rfam:Tenacibaculum dicentrarchi strain AY7486TD, complete genome.